rnacentral:tRNA from 1 species
UAGAACGUAGUUCAAUAGUAGAAUAUUUUNCUUUCACACAAAAUGCCGUAAGUUAGAUCCUUAUCUUUGCAA